rnacentral:rRNA from 1 species
AGCAGUAGCCGCGGUAAUACAGAGGGUGCGAGCGUUAAUCGGAUCUACUGGGCGUAAAGCGUGCGUAGGCGGCUUUUUAAGUCGGAUGUGAAAUCCCCGAGCUUAACUUGGGAAUUGCAUUCGAUACUGGGAAGCUAGAGUAUGGGAGAGGAUGGUAGAAUUCCAGGUGUAGCGGUGAAAUGCGUAGAGAUCUGGAGGAAUACCGAUGGCGAAGGCAGCCAUCUGGCCUAAUACUGACGCUGAGGUACGAAAGCAUGGGGAGCAAACAGGAUUAGAUACCCCGGUAGUCCCUGUCUCUUAUAC